GAUGAACGCUGGCUACAGGCUUAACACAUGCAAGUCGAGGGACCGGCGCACGGGUGAGUAACGCGUAUCCAACCUGCCUCUGACUGGGGGAUAACCCGUCGAAAGUCGGACUAAUACCUCAUGGUCAGGGAUGGGGAUGCGUUUGAUUAGCUGUUUGGCGGGGUAACGGCCCACAAAGGCUACGAUCAGUAGGGGUUCUGAGAGGAAGGUACCUCACAUGGGAACUGAGACACGGUCCAAACUCCUACGGGAGGCAGCAGUGAGGAAUAUUGGUCAAUGGGCGGGAGCCUGAACCAGCCAAGUAGCGUGCAGGAAGACGGCCUAUGGGUUGUAAACUGCUUUUAUGCGGGGAUAGGUACCGCAUGAAUAAGGACCGGCUAAUUCCGUGCCAGCAGCCGCGGUAAUAC
rnacentral:rRNA from 1 species